rnacentral:rRNA from 1 species
GUAGUAACACGUGGGUGAUCUGCCCUGCACUUCGGGAUAAGCCUGGGAAACUGGGUCUAAUACCGGAUAGGAGCCAUUUUUAGUGUGAUGGUUGGAAAGUUUUUCGGUGUAGGAUGAGCUCGCGGCCUAUCAGCUUGUUGGUGGGGUAAUGGCCUACCAAGGCGGCGACGGGUAGCCGGCCUGAGAGGGUGGACGGCCACAUUGGGACUGAGAUACGGCCCAG